AUUGAACGCUGGCGGCAUGCUUUACACAUGCAAGUCGAACGGCAGCGGGGGCUUCGGCCUGCCGGCGAGUGGCGAACGGGUGAGUAAUGCAUCGGAACGUGCCCAGUCAUGGGGGAUAACUACGCGAAAGCGUAGCUAAUACCGCAUACGCCCUGAGGGGGAAAGCGGGGGAUCGCAAGACCUCGCGUGAUUGGAGCGGCCGAUGUCGGAUUAGCUAGUUGGUGGGGUAAAGGCCUACCAAGGCGACGAUCCGUAGCGGGUCUGAGAGGAUGAUCCGCCACACUGGGACUGAGACACGGCCCAGACUCCUACGGGAGGCAGCAGUGGGGGAAUUUUGGACAAUGGGGGGCAACCCUGAUCCAGCCAUGCCGCGUGAGUGAAGAAGGCC
rnacentral:rRNA from 1 species